GCUAAACCGAAUUAAUGUCUAAAGUCGGCAGCCAGGCUAGUGGCCAAAGGAUUGCCUGCAUGAAAUCAGGCAGGAAAUUCCUAAAGGCUUCUCCUUGCAUUUCAGAGGGACUUUGGCUUUCAAGUAGCAGGUUUACCCUGCCAAGCUUUUUCGGUCGUGGAUACAUCCUUCAACAAUACAUCCUUCAGCAGAAGGAUGCCUAUAGCUGAUCUUCCUGCAUGUAUUUUCUGGCAGUGACCUGUGCCAGUCCUUUCCUCCAGGUCAGUUUGGCUAACCAAACAGGCCGUGCUUGUCGUUUGGGUGCCACGUGGCUAAACUUGUCUCUGGAGGCAAUCCUUAAGGCACUGGAUGAUGGGAAGAACCUCUCCAGAGAGCGCUGCUGCUUCCUUCCUUUCAGUGUUGCAUUAGCUUUGUGGAGGCUAUAGCUUAUGUUAGUAUAUAGCUGUCGCAGUCCAGAGAGAGGACAAGGUGCUAGAAUUGGCUGAACAAGCUCAAACAGUUUAGCUUGGGGGCUCUUUCACACCACGUCCUUUCUGCUCAGCUCAGCGGUGAGGUCCCUCCCAAGCCGGGGCUGGGAGGUGUGCUCUGUGUUGCUGGGUUUGGUAAAAGUGGUGGUGGUGGAGAAACCUCUCUUAUCCCCUUUUGGGUUUGCUGUUUUUGGCUAGCAGAUUUGAAAGCAAAGGUCUUAAAUGCAGCGGGGAAGACUUGGGCGCUUCCAUUGAUACUGGUGUGGCAAGCUAGUACGUGGCCUGAGCUGCAAUUGCCUCGUGUUACUGCUUUUGUAGUAGAGUACUUGCCUAUCCCAAGAUGCACCCACAGCCCCGUGCUGUCAGCUUUCUUGCCUGGGAAGACUCGAGGUACCUGCAGUAGCUAACUACUAGUGCAAGUAGUACGUGGUCUGAGCUGGCUUUUGAACCAAGCGCUCCCUGUGUUAGCAGUGGCUAUUGUAAAGGGCCAAAAGUCUGAUGGGAAGGCAUCUGAGAAUCGUAUUAAAACUUCUCAAAGGGCUGAAGGCUGCAUGGGAACCCCAGAGCAGGUUCUUGUUUUAAUGGCUCAGUUCUAGUGGCUGGGAUGCCCCGCGCUCUCCUCCUGAGACCUGUUGGUCAGCCAUGUAGCUGUUCUGCUAAGCAGCCGCUUCUUCCUGCACAAAAAUACAGGUUAGUGAGUUCUGUUUUUUCAGUUAGGCUCUCAUGUGAAUCCUUUGAUUCCUAAUGUUAAAUCAGUUUGCUGAAAAGCAGGUUGUGAACGGAGCUCUUGUUUCUGUUGGUUGCUUCGAGCAAGUGGCUUUGUAUCCUGAGCAGCUGCUUGGUGUCUCUGGAGCAGUGACUGUCCCUGCCUCAGCUGCCUGCCCACACAGUCCUUUACAUGAGCUCUGUUUGGCUGUACCAAGAGACGAUUACAUUCACUAAUUGCACGGAAAAACACCUUGCAGGAUACUUUUCCUGCUGAACUAGUGUACUCUACUGCUUAUUUUUGUGGUCAGGCUGGUGCCAAAACCACUGCAAGGAAGGAGGUAAGAGGAGAGCCGGAGUGGAGGCGUAGGGAGGAGGUGGGAGCGAACACACAGUCUGACCAGUUCGGCUGUAUCAUGUAAACGUGUGUGCCGUGGUGACAAAUGGCGUGAAUCAGUUUGUUUUCCCACUGUGCCGUUGUCAGAGUUGAAAUAUGGAAGUUGAAGACUAUCAACUAAUAGGCAAGUACUUGGUAUAAGUCCUGCCUUUCUUUUAAGGGACGUGCUUGCAUCAGAAAUCCAAAACAAGAGGUUGGAAUCCAGGGGUGAUGACAGGGAGAUGAUUUUGGCACACCCUUGUGCUCUGUCCCUUCCUUGCUGAUUCAGUUAAUGUGUGGAAAUUCCCUACCAUGUAUAAGCUUAUUUACCUAACCCUGCUGUUUCUGUAGCUCUUGGUGCAGGCAUUGCCUCUGGCUGCUAUAACUCAAACCGAUGCUAAGAUCGUGUCACACUGAUGGCUGUUUCUUCUCCUGCCAGCAUCCCCGUGAUGUGCCAUCAGGAACGUUACGGAACCAUCAGGAACGUUAUGGAAGUGAGGAGCCUUCGCUCUGUCCCUUGCCCGUUUCCCUGUGGGUCCACGGGAAGCGGUGCACGCUGUGGAAGCAGUGGUGCUGCUCAGUAGGGCAGGGAGAGGCUUGAUGUGAAGCUGUUCAUAGGACAGCACAGGAGGGGACACUUCCCACACUUCCCUCCUGUCCUUCUGGCUCAGGGGCUACUAUGUUUGCUCUGUCAAGUCCAGCAGUUUUAGGAAGCUGUUUCACAGUUAAGGGCACAUUUGCUGUGGGGUUUGCUGCUCUAUUUGCAGCUGGGGUCCUGUUUUCUUAAGCCUCUGGGAGUUGGAUAGGGAGACAGAGUUCUGCAGCUUUCCGAGGAAGGUGUUAAUCUGUUCAGUCACUCUUUAAUCCUGUCCUCCCUUUCCUUCCUAGUAAUGUGCUCAUUCUUGCUGUCAGUGCUUACACUUAAGCACAUUGUGCAAGGAAAGAUGAGCACGCUUGAUAAGACCCCUGAGGUGCAACUGCAUCUUUACCAGCCCCUUUGGAGCAUGUUUUAUGGCAUGGGUCAAAUGGCAGUGCACCGCUUAGCAAAUGCUACCUGUCGUCUGAAAUGCUUUCCGAGCAGUGUGCCGCCUCAUCUGACCCAGGAUGGCUGUCUCUGUUGUUUGCACUCCGCUUGAAUUGUGUCUGUCUGCUCUUCCUUCCUUAGCAGGCUCCUGGGGGGAGAUGUGAUGAGGUGCAGCCACCUCCAUCAGUUGAGUCGGAUCAGUGUGCUUUCGAAGCCAGUCUCCAAGCUGUCCGUAAGCCGUGCAUUCUAGUUCCCAUCCCAGAGCGCGCUAGCUGGAGUUGUAUUAGGGUCACAUUGCAAACAUGGCAGCCCCUGGGCUGGGAGGACGGGAGGGAGGUGUCCCCUCCUGUGCUGUCCUGCGAGCAGCCUCGCAUCGAGCCUCUCCCUGCCCUCGUGCAGCUGCUCACCAGCACCACUGCUUCCUCGGUGUGCACAGCUUCCUGGGGCCCCACGGGGAAAUGGGCAAGAGCAAGCGAGCCUGUAUCUCUAGCGUGUUUGAACUGGAUAUUGUGCUCCAGCAGCUAACUGGGUUUGUGUCUGUGGGACCUGGCUAGAGCGAGUUUGAAGGCGACCCGAAAAACGCGGGGUUACUGCUGGGUAUGGUUUCACUUGGCGAACGCGUUCCUGUUGUCUCUGCCAUUUGUUGCUGUAGACGCAGCUAAAAACAGACUGAUGGUUUUGGCAUGUUCCCAAGAGACGGCAAUGUCCUCUGCUACUUGGCCACCACCUAGGCCUCGCUUUGCAGCUGGUAGCAGCUGCCUCCUUUUCAAAACAGACAGUGGGACUGAGAGCGCUGUUGUCAGCACUGCCCUGACCCAGCCUUCCUGUCGCCUUACCUCAUGCUCACUGGCUUCUCUUCCUGCGUGGCUAUUUUACCUGGGGUCCUUCUGAGGUCCCGUGCUGGGGAGGCGCACUGCUUUGCUUCCCCGUGCCACCUACAUUUGUCUUCCUCCAAGAAACGUUCCUCCCUGUUGCUCCUCUUCCUCCCCUGGUCCAUCUGAAGCCUGCAAGUCACUGCUUGAGUGCCUGGGCACCUUCUGGUUAGGGACUUAACGUUUCAUGGAGAGGAUCAAGCACGUAAGAGGAAAGUGCUGCUUCCGAAACUGUAAAAACGAAUCAUAAAGUGGUUAAACUAAGAAUAAAUCUUUUGGCUGGCAAAAGGAGCAGGGCUCUUUUCCUGGUGGUGUAUUUCUGCUGGCUUUGUUCCCUUAGUUCCCGUUGUGAGCUGUCCUUUUCGUGAGCUGAAUCAGUUCCUGAAACCCCGCCUGGGGAGAAGCCUGAUCACAGGAGCUCCAACCAACCAACAACUCUGUGAACUCCUGCCCUAAAUGACUUGUCCAGGGUUGUGCAAGAAACUGGUAACAGGGCACAGGCUCAAGCUCAACAGCCAGGUUAUCUUAGUGAGAGAUCCUGCUGCCCUGCCAUAAGCACACCAGCGAGCCCAGGACCUCCUCCCUUUUCUUCCUUGGCAAGCUGAUGCUAACAGGCCAGCUCCUGCUCGUUGUAGUGAGGUGAAAUCAAGAAGAACAUUUGGCAUCUGCCUGGACCUGGAUAAAUAGCCUGGUGUGGGGGGAAGCCCUUAGCCCAGACAGAGGACAUCUGGAUGGUGGCAGGGGAAUGAAACUCCCCAUGCUGCAGCAGGACUCCUGUCUGAUUUUGGUAACUCUUGGGUAUAGAUUUAUGUGUUUUUAGGUUCGGCCUGAUGCGGGUGCCCUCUGCCUGCUUCUCAGCUUUGUUGGAAGUUGCCAGUAACAAAGGCAGCGUGUUUGUCGGAUCGCCCCUUAUCUAGGGAUCGCCCCUUAUCUAGUGGUCCCUGGAAGCUAGUGAAGUAUUUUCCUUUCCCCAAGGUUUUCUUUGGCCUGAAUUGUCAAGGUAAGCUUUGAUAGGGAGCAUCACUGCUAAGGACCAAAAAGGCCUAGAGGUCCCUAGAACUGCUUUGCAGCCAGGUAGGGGCCUUCCCUGAGCCAUUAACGCUCAGCUUGCUGCACCUGAAGGCAGGCAGUGUGUGGUGGGCUGCGUUUAACCUAAUGUGCUGUACCUAGGCAAGCAGCUUUGGGUGCUCGGAAACGAAUUAUUUCUUGUGGGCAGCCCUUAAACGGUUCUGUUUCAAGCUGCCCUCUGGUGGUUUCAGACUGGAUGGCUGAAAUGAAAAAAUCAGCCCGUUUUACUGAUGUCAGCCUCCUGCGAGGGCUGCUGCAGGACGUGGGACCAGCGCUCCCCGCACCCGGUGGGCUUCUGAAGGUGAGCAGUGCUCGCAGCGGCGUGGGACACUGGGGGCUUGACUCCAGCAGCCCUCGGGGCCUUCGGGACAGCCGGCAGGGCUGCCUGGGUCGUGUUGGCAGCUCGCAAAGCUGGAUGAGAGCUGAAUGAAUCAGCUGGAAGAGCCCCAGAGCUCGGUGCCCUGCGUUGGGGAUGACUGGCUGGGUGUUUCAGGGCGAGGUGUAGGGAUACAGAAAUGGGCAGGUGCAGGUCGGAGGCCUUAAAACACUUCCUCCUGGGCUCUGAUAAGAGAUGGGCUUGAGCUGUGUAGUGCAGAUUUACUGUCAUCUUUAAUAACGCCCUUGCCACCAGUAUUUGUGCUGGGAUAGGCUAUAUAAGCAGUGUAAAUACCUGCUUCAAUUUUACAUCUCAAGUUCCCGACUUCAGGAUUUAUGCUUCUGUGAAAAUACUUCUUGUUACUUCUGCGUUUCUAGCUUUUCCUUGGUUUUGAGAAAAUCAAGAUACUGCUACGGGUUGUGUUAGCACAGCGUGGGGUUACCACCUGCACGUGUGAGGUGUGCGUUCAUCUGCUUGAUCCUUCUGUGCAUCCACGUGCGGCAUUUCUCAGGCUAGAGAAGCAGUUUUGUAAAAGAGCUGUAGCUGUAAACAUGCAAGCAGAAAGCCUGUAAGCCCCUAAGUGUACAGUGAGUGUACUGUCCCCAUCUAUACUUCUGCUGGUGGCUGGUCAGAGUUGCACUAACAUUGUGCAGGUUUGUUCAGCGUACUCCUGCCGGGCUGACCCCGGAUAUUCCCACCCAUUGCCUGGCGGGGUGGUAUUUCCCCAGCAGUAGUUAGAGGGGAUGAGCUGUAUAAAAACGUGGGACAUCCGGAGGUGCCCUGCUGAUGUCCCAGCAGUGAAGGAAUCCCAAAUGUUGCUGCUGAAAUAACCGUUGAGACUGGUUCAUCAAAACUGGCUCCUCUUUCCUGGGUAAGUGUUUCUGUACAGGUCCAGGACACUGAGAUGCCAAUGUUCAACCUGUUGGAGGAUAUCAGCAACUCUUACUUUGGGGGUGAUGAUGCUCACCAAAGCACGCAUGGGGAAAGGGGAGAAUUUCUAUUCUCCCCUUUGCAGUCCUGUGCUGGCUGUGCCUGAGCAGUGUGGCUGCGGAGGAAGAGCCAGGGGGCUUCCCAAAACACAGGUGCAGGAAGAGGCAGAAGGGCUGGUGGGCAGGUACAGCUGUGUGGUCACUGCCCUUGUCCCACGUCCUUGGGGGGGGGUGCAGCUCUGGAAACCUCCAUCCUGCAUGGUGGCAGUGUCUCGCACCGGAUGGCAGGGUGCAGGCAGAUCAUCUGCUUUGUCCUCUGGAGCCUCUGUUCCCUCCAUUCGGUGUAACUCAGAGUAACUGCAGCUUCCUAGCAGCUGAAGAUCUGGCUCUGAAGCAGAAGAAGAAAGCCUUUUCUGUAACACUGCCUUUCUCUGCAUCAGGAGCAGGGCUCUGGGGUUAAGCCAGGCAGGGGUCGCUUGCCGUAGGCAUGGUUUUUACAGGGCUGGGGAGCACUGGAAGUGUAUUUGAGGGCAAAAAACAUCUUCUGAGGAUGGUAAAGCUAAACCGCCUCUGCUGUGAUAGGCAUUAGCAGGAUUUUUGCAGGAACGCGGUCGCUGGAGGAGCUGGGACUGGUGGCAAAGCACGAUUCAUCUCCAGAUUCAUCUCCAGAGCCAAAGGUGACCUGAAGCGAGAGGUGCGUGCUGCGAUGCCUCGGCACCUCUGCAGGGACUCGUUCAGGAUGUGGCCCUUCAGGUGGUGUUCCUGUAAGAGAAACAGCCUCAUCUUGUGGUGGCAUGCAGAUGUCCUGCCUGUUAUUCAGGCUUACUGCAGCGUUUCCCUUCAAUCACUGGAAUUGUGGAGGCUUCCUCACAAGAGGGAGAGCUGGUUCGUGCCACUGUCCAAGGUGAUCCCCCCGAAUUUAGCUGAGGUAGCUCAGCGUGCUGUAGGGACUUGUCUCUUCCUAAGGCUGGGGUAAAGCUGGCACUGCUUAGCACAGCACUUGUCCUCCCAUGGGGCUGGCAUCGUUGCUGAUGCACUGGAGGCAGCAGGCUUUUUUGUUUGAGUUAAAGAAAAAAGAGGGGAGAAGAUUAAAAAAAAAAAAAAAAAAGAACGAAAAAGAAAAAUAAGUCUCUUACAGCAAACCAGGGCCAACUGUCCCAAGAGGUGCUUAUGAACCUGGCACUGACUGAUUUUUAAAGCUCUGUGAAAAUAAACCUUGUAAUGUUUUGCACAAUAUAUUUUUCUUCCCUCAUCUGACAAAUGCCGAUCCCCCUGAUUUGGUAUGCGCUCAAAUAACAAAGACGGUAAUUUGUCACCUCCUUUGCAGCGGGGGGACGCGUGGGGACAGUCGGCUGCAAGACGCAAUCUGGAGUUUGUCACUGCUGCUCGGCCCAGGGGUCAUCGGGGCCCCUGCCACCAACCUCACCGCAGCAUCAGCCACAAUGCUGUCCCUGCCUCUGUGCUCAUGGCAGCUUUUCCUGGGACCCGAUCCAGCGCCUGGACAGAGGCUCUCUGUUCUCCUCGUGUUUGUUGGACGCAGGGUGGCUGCGGCGCUGUCCCUGGAGCUGUGGGUGAGGCUGGAAGGGACCAGAGGCAGCGAGGUCUGAGGGAGGCGGUGCGAGCCUGGCCUCCGGGGUGAGCAGGGCCUGCCGGGGCUGGCGAGCGAGCGGAAGGGAGCAGGUCGGGACCAGCCCGGUGUUCCCGAAGAGGCUGCCGCUGCUCCGGUAAAUCCCAGGCAAUCCCCGCGCUGUCACAAAUCGCCCCUGGGAGGCUGGAGGAGGCAUUUGGAGGUUCCUGCUACUUCCCCCCUGCCUUUCCUUCCCAUGUCUUUCCUUCCCCAUGUCUUAGUUCCCUCUUUGCCUUCCCCAUAUCCUCUGACCCUGUUCCUCUUCUCUUUACCUAAUGGUUCCCCUUCCUUCCACCUGUCUUGUGUCCUCUGUAAUUGCUGUCUGCCCCCACUCACCAGCUUUCUUCUGUCCUUCCCCAUGCCCUGGUUUUGCCCACAGUCCUUCUGAGCUGCCUCUUAGGUCCUUGUUCCCUGGAGCGGGACCUGCAGGCGCCCUCCGUAGGGAGCGGUGCGGAGCGAGGGAUGCCAGCAGUGAUGCGGGCAGUGGGACGCAGCUUGGCAGCAGAUCCCCUGUGCUCAAGGUGCCCUGCAGAUGCCUGGGGUGCCAUGGGGUCUGCCAGCGGUUGUGCCUUACCAAGGCACCUGCCAUGGUCACGAAGCUUUUGCUGCCCUGCCCUUCCCAUUGGGUGGUGCACGGACGGGUUGAAGCCUUUUGGAGGCUGCAGAUGUGCUGGUGAGGCUGGGCAGACCUCGCUGCAACCUCCCGAGCAGGUGUGGGAGAGCUGGGCUGGCUGCCUGCUCCAGGACACAGGCUUUUAAAGCACCCUCUGGGGGGGGGGUGUGAAACAGCACCAGCUCCUCAGAGCUUUCUGAAUGGCUCAGAGUUGGUACUGGUUUUUUUUAAGGCUCCAACACUCUUCUAGAGCCUUUUCCAAGAGGUGAAGCAAAAGUGAUUAGUGUUGUGUUUGCUCAACCUUAACUACAGCUGAACAAACUUUGUUUUUCUUCCUUCGGAAUUAUUACUUGGGUGAAAAUUAGAAAAGUUUACUUGCUAGUGCCAUUACAUAGUAGAGUGUGUUUUUUUCUUCCCUUUUUAAGUCCCCUUUUCUUUACGAUCCUAAAGACCCUUGAGUGGGCUCUGGGACUGCAGCCUUCGUAGGCACACACGGCCCAAAUGAUCUUUAAUUGAGCCAGCAGCCAAGCUGGCUGGGAACGUCCUGGAAAUGUGAAGCUCCUUUCCCUUGAAAUGGCUGAUUUAAAAAAAAUAAAUUGAAAAUAUUCCAAAAAAUUGUAUGCGGUCCCUUCUGCAAACUGACAAAGCAGAUGCCAUGCAGUUGGCACCCUUGCUUUCCUGAGGUGUGUCCACCUCAACUGUCCUGCGCUGGAUUUGCAGGCUCCCAGCACGUAGGUACAGCCCCUGUCCUGAUGGAGGUUGCCUUGCCCCACGAUGUGAUCUCAGGAGCUGGAAUUGCAGCAGCUGGAUGCUCUGCAGGGUCUGGGUCCGACCCCCUUGCCUCGCUUCAUUGCAGAGCAUCAGUGGGAUGAGCGGUGACCGAAUCGGCCUGCCUUUGCUAAAUCACAGAGAGUUGGUGCCGGUCCUGUGCCCGCUGAGGCUUCGUACCCCAGGGCAGCGCCUCUGUGCAGGCUUUCCCAAGCCCGCUAGAUGGCAAACACGUAAAAGGUUUGCUCCCUGCUCCUGGCCGCAGUCAGGCCUGCUUCACAGUGCCAAGAAGCGGGCUGGAGCGUGUUUUUUUUUUUUUUUUUUUUUGCCGGGGGCUGUCUGUGCACCAGCAGCCACCGGCUGUAGGUCUAGCGCAAUCAUUUACAUUUCCAGCUCCUUUGUAUAACAUCGAUACUGGGGAGUGUACAAACUGCUGAGCUGUUUACAACUGCGCCGGGGCUCUGCCAUCAACAGCGAGCGCCUGAAUUAGCAGCGUCCAGCUGGGCGCCCGCUGCCGCCGGGCUCAGGGGGCAGCCUUGGCUCUGUUGCUUUUGGCUUCCUCCUGUUGAACCCGGCCCUGGUUUAGAGGGGAUCAGGAGGAAGAGGAGAGAAGUGAGGGGGGUUCAGCAGGAGUUUGCUUGCCCUGAUGUGCUGUGCUGAGCCACCUGGGCCUCCCUGCAUCUCCCCAGCUGCUGGAAGGGCUCAUCUGCCUGCUUCCCUAGUGCCUGCUUGCCCUGGGGCUGGGUCCCCGUGGGGUAGUUUCUGCACUGGGGACAGGAGGGCAGGCAGAAGGUGCUGAGUCCCUCUCAGGUGCCCCUUAUUCCUGCUGUGAUGCUGCCCACGCACCUCCUCACCUCCUUCCUUGCAGCAAGCCUCCGACAUGUUCAGUGCUGCUCUGCCCGUCUCUGCUUUGCUGCUUCCCCUGGUGAGCCUGCAGUGGUUCAGCCUCUUCGGUAAAUGAAAUUGUGGAGGUAGAUGGGACAGACUUGUCCCAGCAAGGGCACUGCCACCAGACUGAUCCCUCUUCCAGCUUUGGCUCCUGGACGUUUUCAUGAUCCUGCGCAGAGAAGAUGCUGCUCAGGCCUGCGAGCUGGGACUUCUGAGGGCUCAGCAAAACAGCGGGAGCAUCUUCCCUCUCCUGAGAGUGAGGAAGCUUGAAUGUGCCAGGCUGGUGUGUCCUGUGUGAUGUGGAAGAGCCGCUGCCAGCUCCAAACGACUGUUCCUGGGCAGCACUUGUCCAGGGAACCUGGGAAUGUCGCUGCUUCUGCAGCAGAGCACGAGGCUUCUGCAAAAUGCCAAAGUAAUUUAAGAUCUUGGUGGAUGCAGAUGCUUAGGUGCCCAAAGAGCUGCCUCUGAAAAUCCCUCCGGACUUGAAUCUGUCUUGAAGAACUGCAGUAUCGUUGAAAAUGUGGCUGUAGUGUCUGGCUAGAGCUCAGCUGCUGUGCCUAUAAAGCAGUAUUGCUUUUAAAAACGGGACUGCGUUGCUCAUGGGGGCUCGUGGACUUGUGAGCUUUGAUCCUGUGCCCUGAUCAAGCCCAUCCUGCUCCCAACCCCUGUCUGGAGGAUGGUUUGCCCUGGGGCUGCCUGUCUGGUGCUGGCUGUGGUGCUGCAGAGAGUCCCAGCUCUGGCUGAGGCUAAUGCUUGCCUUACCCUGCUGGGGGCAGUGGGGAAGGAUCUGGACCACUGGAUGUGUCCACAGCGCAGGGCAACAAAUCCAGUGCUUGUGUGCCAACACUGAUGUGCUUGCUUUGAUGAUAAGCCUGGCUGUGAAUGCUGGAAAGCCUUGGAGUGGUGCUGUGGGGAUCCGCUUUCUGCCUGGGUCCUUCCUCAGACCUCUGCAGCAGGGUACCUGCCCUGCUGCCUGAAGCAGGCUUGGGGUCUGCAGAAGGGCCCCUGGGCUUUGAUUCUUGCUUUAAUCUCACUUGUCUCAAGUGUCUCUUGGUGCAUAGUCUGCUCCCUUCUGAUUUCAUUCUGCUGUGGUUCUGGCAUGGGUUAAUGUGUCAUGCUGUUGUUAACCAGCCCACCCAGACAAUGAACCAUUGCAGAUCUCUGGCCCCUCUCCUGUCUUGUGACCAGCAGCGAUUUGGGUCUGAGAACAACAGUUCUUGUCUAACAGACCUGGUGUCAUGGAGUGCUGUCCAUCUCUGUCCUGCGGAGAGUUAAGAUGAGACCCUGGGGAUGUAGCAACAGCUGAACCCCAGCCACUGGAUGCGCUGGAGAAGUGGAAAACACGUGGCUCCCCUUCCUGAGGAGACACGAAGCACUGGGUCCAGCCCUGUUCCCUGGGGUAAGUACUCAAGUACAGCCUGGUCCUGCCAGAUGUGGCCCAUUGAGGCCAAAAUGUGUGUCCAUCCACCUCAUCUGCAAGCCUCUGCCCUUGCUUCCUCAUGUCCUCUGGCUUUGCAAAUGCUUUCAGAGAAGAAGUAGGGCCUGAAAGCUGCAGGCAUGGUGGCAAGUAGCCAAGGGCUGGGCACAGACAGAAGAGGGGCUGCUUUGUGCCCCAGGCCUUCCCAGCCCAGUGGCAGCCCCCCAGGCUCUCCAUCUUCUGCAGCUUCACCAGCCCUUGGCUCCUUGGCAUCAUUUGGCAGCACUGGAGAUCCUCAGUGUGCAGCAUCAUUCGCUGCAAGUCCCUCUCCCUCCCCACCAGGCUCCCCCGUAGGGAUGCCUGCCCAAGAUCACAGAACAGCUUAAGGGUUUUAUCAGAUAGGAGGCUUAAUAGCUUGACCCCAGGACCUCUUUAUCACCUGCAUGGUGCAGCAGCUGGGGGCUUUCGUAGAGACACAUGGCUUGGUUUUGCAGCAUUUGUGAGAGCGCGUCUGGAACCAGGCAUCGCUCUGUCAAGGUCUCUGGCUGUGCGUCCCAACAGGGACCAGGCACAGCUCUGUUUGCAGAGGACUAUGCAUCCUGAGGCCGAAGGCUCGUCUGUGCCCAUGGCACGUGGAGAUGCCUGUCCCCUUGUCUGGACAGGCUGCGUGAGCCCAGUUUCUGCAGGGUAGACAUGGAUCCCCCUCUGCUGUGCCACGGGGCUGUUGGGGAAGUACGGGCAGGAUGGGCAAGCAGCCCUCUGCCUGUCUGAGAGCGUUUGAAGGCAGACGUUUGUCCCUGGCCACACGUGUGAGAUGGGGAUUUGGGCCUACUGCUAGGCUGAUGCUUGGUGAAGCAACUCUCAUCUCUCUUGUAGUGGGUGCCCCCAGCACAGUCCUGCCUAUGUGCUGGCCUGGGUGCUGGGUGGGAGAGCUAUGGCCCAAGCUAUAGGAGCAGCGAGCAGCUGCUGCACCAGGGUUGCAGCCUUUCUGAGGCCGGGUAGGAUGCCCAGCCUACACUGAUCCCAAGCGAGACCUGGUGCUCGGCACUGCUGUGACCCUGUGAGGUACUGUCCUGCAGCUGCUCUUGGCUCCUCUCCUUGUGCACUGGCUCAGGUGGGUGCUGGGCUGCUGCCCUCUCACUGCGCAGGGCAGGCGGCCCCGACCUGCUCGGUGCGAUGUGACCUGGCAGCGUGCUCCCGGUGUCAGGGGGCUCCAGUCAGAGCUGGCCCCAAGCGGGCUGUGGUGCUAGGGGCAGGAUUUGAUGCCAUCUCCACUCCAAUCUUCAGCCAUCAGUGAGUUUGUCUUCUCGACUCCCUGGGUCCCUUUAUUGUCACAGGACAUGUCCUGCGUUCUCUCCUAGGAGCCAGAGUACAGCUUGCCCUGAAGGCAGUCUCCUGCCCUGCCAUGGCCCUAUAUCUUUGGCACAUGUGGGCAAGCGUAGUCUGUGAGCGGCCGUGCUGCAGGACGAGAGCCCCCUUUCCCCGGGCCUGCUGUUUGCAGCAGCUGCUGAGGACAGAUUUGCCGUGAGGCAUCUCAGGAGUGCGUGGCUCUGGGCUGGGUUUAGAUGCACCUCCAGGGCUGUCAUACCUUGGUGCAGGGGGACACUAUAAAACAGGGUCAGGGACGUCUAAACUGCGGUGGUGCCCGCGUGAGUUCCACGGGGCACAGAGGGGGCAGUCUCAACUCUGAACUUUUUGCACUGAAAAAUCGCAAUGCGCCUCAGAAGGAGCUGGCAGCCCCGCUUGCGCUGCAGCACCGCGAGGUUCAAACGGGAGCAGGAGCUCUUGGGCGAGUCCCAAAACCCUGCUGGGGCCUGUCACCAGACCCAGGAGCGUCCGUGACUCCAGGUAGGAUUGAGUGAGCCUCGGUUCACCACGGUGGCUCCCCAGCCCACAACCCAGCAGUGCCUAAGCCUGGCGGCAGGGACCAACGCUGAGGCAGGGGGGCCCGUCAGUGUUCCCCCCUGCUUGUUAUUUCAGCUGCUGGAGCCUUGGCUGUGCCUGCGCGGGACGGACAAACACCCUGCAGGUGCUGUUUGCAAGUGCCUUCUCCCCUCCGCACCAGCGGCCCCCAAAGCACUGCUCCGUGGGGGCCACGAUGAGGGGACUCCCUUGCUGCUGCCUCCUUCAUGCCUGGCUUCGGGGACAGGCCCCGAAUACUCGAGCCCUUGUUGCCUGCCUCCGCCGUGACCCGGGCUGCUAACAGAGGCCGUCUUUCUGCUGGCUGUGGAGCCUGCGCGCGGCCUGGCCACCAAACUCCAGGCCUCCAGGGCUGCCUCUUAACCUGGAGAAGCGGCGGGUUAUUUGUGUUGCUCUUGGCAGGGGUGCCCUGGCCCUCCAAAACACAGAGGUGAAUGUGCGCGGAGGUGUGGGGCGCAGGCCAGCGCGCGCUGUUUGUGUUGGACCCGCCAUGCAGGGAAUUAGUUCAACUCUGCUGCUAAUUGCUCCUGAAGUGCAGGGCUCUGUCGAAUGGACGUGAACAUGCGACGGGGACAGCAAGCGCAGCCCGGGGUGGGGGGGGUGGCCUUGCCCCAUUCUGCUCUGCUGUGAGACCUCGGCGCCUCCUGGCUGUGUCAGCCCCACGUAACCAGCAGGGAGCGGAGGCUUCUCAGCCAUGCCCCAGCUGCUCAGAAGCCCUGGGACUGAUGUAAUUUUCGUGGAGAAGGAGCAACACCCCCCU